UACGGGGGGGGCAAGCGUUGUUCGGAAUUACUGGGCGUAAAGGGCUCGUAGGCGGCCGACCCAGUCGGACGUGAAAUCCCUCGGCUUAACCGGGGAAUGGCGUCCGAUACUAGUCGGCUUGAGUGUGGGAGAGGGAUGCGGAAUUCCAGGUGUAGCGGUGAAAUGCGUAGAUAUCUGGAGGAACACCGGUGGCGAAGGCGGCAUCCUGGACUACUACUGACGCUGAGGAGCGAAAGCCAGGGGAGCAAACGGG
rnacentral:rRNA from 1 species